AUUGAACGCUGGCGGCAGGCCUAACACAUGCAAGUCGAGCGAGCGGCGGACGGGUGAGUAAUGUAUGGGGACUGCCCGAUAGAGGGGGAUAACUACUGGAAACGGUGGCUAAUACCGCAUACUAUCGGAUAACCCAGAUGGGAUUAGCUAGUAGGUGAGGUAAUGGCUCACCUAGGCGACGAUCCCUAGCUGGUCUGAGAGGAUGAUCAGCCACACGGGAACUGAGACACGUCCCAGACUCCUCCGGAGGCAGCAGUGGGGAAUAUUGCACAAUGGGCGAAAGCCUGAUGCAGCCAUGCCGCGUGUAUGAAGAAGGCCCUAGGGUUGUAAAGUACUUUCAGUCGGGAGGCGUUCCCGGCAGAAGAAGCACCGGCUAACUCCGUGCCAGCAGCCGCGGUAAUUC
rnacentral:rRNA from 1 species